GUCUCUGGCCAUACCACUGCGAAGGCAUCCGAUCUCGGCUGCUCUCAGAAGCUAAGCAGGGUUAGGCCUGGUUAGUAUUUGGAUGGGAGAAAUCUCCAAUGGAAUUACCUUCACUAAUGUCU
rnacentral:rRNA from 1 species